CGGGUGCACUGAUCCAGCCGGGCCUUUCCCUCUGUGGAACCCCAUGGCCUUCACUGGCUGUGGUGGGGAAACAGGACUUUUACUUUGAAAAAAUUAGAGUGCUCCAGGCAGGCCUAUGCUCGAAUACAUUAGCAUGGAAUAAUAGAAUAGGACGUGUGGUUCUAUUUUGUUGGUUUCUAGGACCGCCGUAAUGAUUAAUAGGGACAGUCGGGGGCAUCAGUAUUCAAUUGUCAGAGGUGAAAUUCUUGGAUCUAUUGAAGACUAACUACUGCGAAAGCAUUUGCCAAGGAUGUUUUCAUUGAUAAGGAACGAAAGUUAGGGGAUCGAAGACGAUCAGAUACCGUCGUAGUCUUAACUAUAAACUAUGCCGACUAGGGAUCGGACGAUGUUAUUCUUUGACGCGUUCGGCACCUUUCGAGAAAUCAAAGUGCUUGGGCUCCAGGGGAGUAUGGUCGCAAGGCUGAAACUUAAAGAAAUUGACGAAGGGCACCACCAGGGGUGGAAUCUGCGGCUUAUUUGACUCAACACGGGGAAACUCACCAGGUCCCAGACACAGUGAGGAUUGACAGAUUGAGAGCUCUUUCUUGAUUCUGUGGGUGGUGGUGCAUGGCCGUUCUUAGUUGGUGGAGUGAUUUGUCUGCUUAAUUGCGAUAACGAACGAGACCUUAACCUGCUAAAUAGCCCGUACUGCUUUGGCAGUUCGCCGGCUUCUUAGAGGGACUAUCGG
rnacentral:rRNA from 1 species